AUUGAACGCUGGCGGCAGGCCUAACACAUGCAAGUCGAACGGUAACAGGAAGCAGCUUGCUGCUUUGCUGACGAGUGGCGGACGGGAGAGUAAUGUCUGUGAAACUGCGCGAUGGAUGGGGAUAACUACUGGAAACGGUAGCUAAUACCGCAUAACGUCGCAAGACCAAGGAGGGGGACCUUAGGGGCUCUUGCCAUCGGAUGUGCCCAGAUGGGAUUAGCUAGUAGGUGGGGUAACGGCUCACCUAGGCGACGAUCCCUAACUGGUCUGAGAGGAUGACCAGGCACACUGGAACUGAGACACGGUCCAGACUCCUACGGGAGGCAGCAGUGGGGAAUAUUGCACAAUGGGCGCAAGCCUGAUGCAGCCAUGCCGCGUGUAUGAAGAAGGCCUUCGGGUUGUAAAGUACUUUCAGCUGGGAGGAAGGGAGUAAAGUUAAUACCUUGGCUCAUUGACGUUACCCGCAGAAGAAGCACCGGCUAACUCCGUG
rnacentral:rRNA from 1 species